GGGUUGUGAGGUUAAGCGACUAAGCGUACACGGUGGAUGCCCUGGCAGUCAGAGGCGAUGAAGGACGUGCUAAUCUGCGAUAAGCGUCGGUAAGGUGAUAUGAACCGUUAUAACCGGCGAUUUCCGAAUGGGGAAACCCAGUGUGAUUCGUCACACUAUCAUUAACUGAAUCCAUAGGUUAAUGAGGCGAACCGGGGGAACUGAAACAUCUAAGUACCCCGAGGAAAAGAAAUCAACCGAGAUUCCCCCAGUAGCGGCGAGCGAACGGGGAGCAGCCCAGAGCCUGAAUCAGUGUGUGUGUUAGUGGAAGCGUCUGGAAAGGCGCGCGAUACAGGGUGACAGCCCCGUACACAAAAAUGCACAUACUGUGAGCUCGAUGAGUAGGGCGGGACACGUGGUAUCCUGUCUGAAUAUGGGGGGACCAUCCUCCAAGGCUAAAUACUCCUGACUGACCGAUAGUGAACCAGUACCGUGAGGGAAAGGCGAAAAGAACCCCGGCGAGGGGAGUGAAAAAGAACCUGAAACCGUGUACGUACAAGCAGUGGGAGCACAGAGCAAUCUGUGUGACUGCGUACCUUUUGUAUAAUGGGUCAGCGACUUAUAUUCUGUAGCAAGGUUAACCGAAUAGGGGAGCCGAAGGGAAACCGAGUCUUAACUGGGCGUUAAGUUGCAGGGUAUAGACCCGAAACCCGGUGAUCUAGCCAUGGGCAGGUUGAAGGUUGGGUAACACUAACUGGAGGACCGAACCGACUAAUGUUGAAAAAUUAGCGGAUGACUUGUGGCUGGGGGUGAAAGGCCAAUCAAACCGGGAGAUAGCUGGUUCUCCCCGAAAGCUAUUUAGGUAGCGCCUCGUGAAUUCAUCUCCGGGGGUAGAGCACUGUUUCGGCAAGGGGGUCAUCCCGACUUACCAACCCGAUGCAAACUGCGAAUACCGGAGAAUGUUAUCACGGGAGACACACGGCGGGUGCUAACGUCCGUCGUGAAGAGGGAAACAACCCAGACCGCCAGCUAAGGUCCCAAAGUCAUGGUUAAGUGGGAAACGAUGUGGGAAGGCCCAGACAGCCAGGAUGUUGGCUUAGAAGCAGCCAUCAUUUAAAGAAAGCGUAAUAGCUCACUGGUCGAGUCGGCCUGCGCGGAAGAUGUAACGGGGCUAAACCAUGCACCGAAGCUGCGGCAGCGACGCUUAUGCGUUGUUGGGUAGGGGAGCGUUCUGUAAGCCU
rnacentral:rRNA from 1 species